CCUACGGGUGGCAGCAGUGGGGCAUAUUGGGCAAUGGGCGCAAGCCUGACCCAGCAACGCCGCGUGAAGGAAGAAGGCUUUCGGGUUGUAAACUUCUUUUCUGAGGGACGAAGAAAGUGACGGUACCUCAGGAAUAAGCCACGGCUACCUACGUGCCAGCAGCCGCGGUAAUACGUAGGUGGCAAGCGUUAUCCGGAUUUAUUGGGUGUAAAGGGAGUGUAGGCGGGAAAGCAAGUCAGAUGUGAAAACUCAGGGAUCAACCCUGAGCCUGAAUUUGAAACGGUUUUUCUUGAGUGCUGGAGAGGCAAUCGGAAUUCCGUGUUGAGCGGUGAAAUGCGUAGAUAUACGGAGGAACACCAGUGGCGAAGGCGGAUUGCUGGACAGUAACUGACGCUGAGGCGCGAAAGCGUGGGGAGCAAACAGGAUUAGAUACCCGGGUAGUC
rnacentral:rRNA from 1 species